rnacentral:lncRNA from 1 species
CCAACCCCGGGUGAGUAGUACGAAAAACUCUAGGGGCCCCUAUCCUACAACCCUGAUACUAGACCUCCAGUCUUUCCUAUCAAGGGCCAUGUCCUCCGAAACCCGCAUACUAGCCUGUCCUUCCUAAUCACCUCUUCCCAAUACCUCUUAGGCCUCCCUCUGCCUCGCCGAACGCCGACCAUCGUCAGCUGUUCACAACUCCUCACCGGGGCAUCAGGACUUCUCCGCCGCACAUGCCCGAACCAUUUCAGCCUCGCUUCUCGCAUCUUCUCAUCCACUGGGGCCACCCCCACCUUCUCUCGAAUAACUUCAUUCUUAAUCUUAUCUAACCUAGUAAGCCCGCACAUCCACCUAAGCAUCCUCAUAUCCGCAACCUUCAUUCUCUGAACAUGCGAGUUCUUUACUGGCCAACACUCUGC